rnacentral:rRNA from 1 species
AGUGUAGGCGGGAUCGUAAGUUAGGAGUUUAAUGCAUGGGCUUAACCCAUGACCUGCUUUUAAUACUGCGGUUCUUGAGUAUGGGAGAGGGCGAUGGAAUUCCAGGUGUAGCGGUGGAAUGCGUAGAUAUCUGGAAGAACACCAGUAGCGAAGGCGGUCGCCUGGCCCAAUACUGACGCUGAUGCUCGAAAGCUAGGGGAGCAAACAGGAUUAGAUACCCUGGUAGUCCUAGCCGUAAACGAUGGACACUAGUUGCUGGAGGAGUCAAUCCUUUCAGUGACGAAGCUAACGCAUUAAGUGUCCCGCCUGGGGAGUACGCUCGCAAGGGUGAA